UACGGGGGGAGCAAGCGUUGUUCGGAUUUAUUGGGCGUAAAGGGUAGGUAGGUGGUCUCAUUUGUCUGGGGUGAAAGCCUUGAGCUUAACUCAAGAAGUGCCCCAGAAACGGUGAGACUAGAGUCUUGGAGAGGGUCGUGGAAUUCCCGGUGUAGCGGUGAAAUGCGUAGAGAUCGGGAGGAACACCAGAGGCGAAAGCGGCGACCUGGACAAGCACUGACACUCAACUACGAAAGCGUGGGGAGCAAACGGG
rnacentral:rRNA from 1 species